rnacentral:rRNA from 1 species
GUAGGUGGCAAGCGUUGUCCGGAAUUAUUGGGCGUAAAGCGCGCGCAGGCGGUUCUUUAAGUCUGAUGUGAAAGCCCACGGCUCAACCGUGGAGGGUCAUUGGAAACUGGAGAACUUGAGUACAGAAGGGGAAAGCGGAAUUCCACGUGUAGCGGUGAAAUGCGUAGAGAUGUGGAGGAACACCAGUGGCGAAGGCGGCUUUCUGGUCUGUAACAGACGCUGAGGCGCGAAAGCGUGGGGAGCAAACAGGGAUUAGAUACCCUGGUAGUCCACGCCGUAAACGAUGAGUGCUAAGUGUUAGGGGGUUUCCCGCCCCUUAGUGCUGCAGCUAACGCAUUAAGCACUCCGCCUGGGGAGUACGGCCGCAAGGCUG